rnacentral:rRNA from 1 species
UGGGGAAUUUUGCACAAUGGGGGAAACCCUGAUGCAGCGACGCCGCGUGAUUUAGAAGGCCUUCGGGUUGUAAAAAUCUUUUCUAUGGGAAGAAAAUGACAGUACCAUAGGAAUAAGGACCGGCUAAUUACGUGCCAGCAGCCGCGGUAAUACGUAAGGUCCGAGCGUUGUCCGGAAUCAUUGGGCGUAAAGGGUACGUAGGCGGGUAAGCAAGUUAGAAGUGAAAUCCUAUAGCUCAACUAUAGUAAGCUUUUAAAACUGCUCAUCUUGAGGUAUGGAAGGGAAAGUGGAAUUCCUAGUGUAGCGGUGAAAUGCGCAGAUAUUAGGAGGAAUACCGGUGGCGAUGGCGACUUUCUGGCCAUAACCUGACGCUGAGGUACGAAAGCGUGGGUAGCAAACAGG